rnacentral:tRNA from 1 species
GGUGGCUCAGUGGUAGAGCGCUCGCCUAGCAAGUGUGAGGCCCUGGGUUCCAUCCUCAGCACCA